rnacentral:rRNA from 1 species
UCAAUAAGCGGAGGAAAAGAAACUAACAAGGAUUCCCCUAGUAACUGCGAGUGAAGCGGGAAAAGCUCAAAUUUAAAAUCUGGCGGUCUUUGGCCGUCCGAGUUGUAGUCUGGAGAAGUGCUUUCCGCGCUGGACCGUGUAUAAGUCUCUUGGAACAGAGCGUCAUAGAGGGUGAGAAUCCCGUCUUUGACACGGACUACCAGUGCUUUGUGAUGCGCUCUCAAAGAGUCGAGUUGUUUGGGAAUGCAGCUCAAAAUGGGUGGUGAAUUCCAUCUAAAGCUAAAUAUUGGCGAGAGACCGAUAGCGAACAAGUACCGUGAGGGAAAGAUGAAAAGCACUUUGGAAAGAGAGUUAAACAGUACGUGAAAUUGCUGAAAGGGAAACGCUUGAAGUCAGUCGCGUUGUCCGGAACUCAGCCUUGCUUUCGCUUGGUGCACUUUCCGGAUGACGGGUCAGCAUCGAUUUUGACCGUCGGAAAAGGGCUGGAGUAAUGUGGCACCUCCGGGUGUGUUAUAGACUCUGGUCGCAUACGACGGUUGGGAUCGAGGAACGCAGCGCGCCGCAAGGCAGGGGUUCGCCCACUUUCGCGCUUAGGAUGCUGGCAUAAUGGCUUUAAACGACCCGUCUUGAAACACGGACCAAGGAGUCUAACAUACCUGCGAGUGUUUGGGUGGAAAACCCGAGCGCGUAAUGAAAGUGAAAGUUGAGAUCCCUGUCGUGGGGAGCAUCGACGCCCGGACCUGACGUUCUCUGACGGAUCCGCGGUAGAGCAUGUAUGUUGGGACCCGAAAGAUGGUGAACUAUGCCUGAAUAGGGUGAAGCCAGAGGAAACUCUGGUGGAGGCUCGUAGCGAUUCUGACGUGCAAAUCGAUCGUCAAAUUUGGGUAUAGGGGCGAAAGACUAAUCGAACCAUCUA